UGGGGAAUAUUGCGCAAUGGGGGAAACCCUGACGCAGCGACGCCGUGUGAGGGAAGAAGGCUUUCGGGUCGUAAACCUCUGUCAGGAAGGAAGAACCUCUCAAGGCUGAACAAGCCUUGGGACUGACGGUACUUCCAGAGGAAGCACCGGCUAACUCCGUGCCAGCAGCCGCGGUAAUACGGAGGGUGCAAGCGUUAUCCGGAUUCAUUGGGUUUAAAGGGUGCGUAGGCGGAACAAUAAGUCAGCGGUGAAAGCCCGUAGCUUAACUACGGAAUUGCCGUUGAUACUGUUGUUCUUGAGUACGCUUGACGUGGGCGGAAUGUGCCGUGUAGCGGUGAAAUGCUUAGAUAUGGCACAGAACACCGAUAGUGAAGACAGCUCACGAAGGCGAAACUGACGCUGAGGCACGAAAGCGUGGGGAUCAAACA
rnacentral:rRNA from 1 species